UUGAAGACAUAGUUGGAAGAAGAAGAAGAAGACAUGUAGUACUAAGAGAAAGAAAGCUAAAAAGGACAUAAUUUGUUGUUAAUCGAAAGGUGGUUGUGUUGUACUUAUUUGCCGAGUUCUAUAUCAAGGAAAAAAAAUGAGUGAACGCAAUGUUGUUGAAGUUGUUCGAAAUCCAAAGAGGCCUAUUGGAGCUUGGAUACAUUACUAUAACGAUCAAUUGGCCAUGAUGAAAGAGAAG